AUGGGCUGUUUACGGAGCAAGUGCCGGC
rnacentral:piRNA from 1 species